GCCCCUUAGCUGUCUGCAGUUUGAUAGAAUUCAUGAAUGUUCAAUAGCCUUUUGCAAGAAUAUGCUCGAAUUUCACUCAGCAACUUGGUGUCAAUUGGCUGGAAGUUCAGCCGUUGAAAACAGUACACUAUUGAUACAAAUAUAAUAGCUAGUUUCUAAUCUGAGGCUAGUUUGCUAUUAACUGUUGCAAUCAUAUCCAUAUCUAUACUAAUUCCUAAAGGAGGGAUAGUCAACCUCAACAAAGCAACUCGGUGAUAAUAUCCGAACUGGUUGUUAGUCUUUAUUGUCCUUUUCAAGAAUACUAGCUUGGGUUCAUGAGAAAAAUAUCAAAUGAGAAGCUUGGAUCUAGAUCCAAAUGGUCUAGGGAAAUCUCAACCAUGAUCAGAGAACUUGUUGUGGAAGUGUUGGCUGAGAAUAUAUGGGCGAGGUUUGAUUCUGAAUGGUGCAAGUGAUGAAUAUUUCAAAACCAUUCAUCUGGCAGCUGCUUGAGACUGAGAAGUAGUUCGAUUCAGGGGUUGUAGGAGAGACAAAAGAUGGUGAAUAGCUGCUACCUAUCAGAUUAUCAUCAACAUGGGAAAUCUGGAAAUGUCGAUUUUCGUCUGUCAAACCAGAGAAUGUUGAAGGCAAGGAGAAAGAACAUGCUGUUUCAUUCUUGUCCAAGUCAUUAGUGUUGCCUCUCAGGUUUGAUCUCAAGUUCAUCAAUACUUGAUUUGAAUAUUGACCUGCUUGAUAAUCGACUUGUUUCUUCAAUUCUUGUUUCUCUGGCGAUGUUGGGUUUAUUGCAGAAUAAGUAGCUUGAUGACAAUUAUGGAAACCCCUGUAUGUGAUCUCAAAUACAGUAGGAGACUAGGAUCAUCAUCUGACCUUUGCACUUGUUUUGCUGCCCAACAAUUUUGCAUGUACGAUAUGUGCAUCUGUGGUAGCUUCUGCAAAACAUAUAUAAACUUGGUAUCAGAACAUAACAUUCCGUUUCCUAAAAUUCCCAGAAAAGUAUACUGCUGUUAUCUUAAUUAUGUACUUAUAAAGCAGAAUGACCAAAAGGAGAUAAGAACAUUUUAUAUUUGAAGUUGAAAUGUGCACAUAAGCAUGAUCGUCUUUAAUACAUUUCUUUUGGUCUUUAUAUUGGAAACAACUUCUUUUUCCCACAUAAUUAGGGGAUUUGACUGUUGAGCCACUCCAUUUGAGUAUUAACAGAGAUUGCUCAUAAGAAGAAAGAAUUUUCUGAAGAAGCAAUUCUUGAUUUUUAGAAGUGGAAGCUACAGAGCUCAAGUAAGCUCUAAGCUGCUUAGCGUGUUCAAUUCCUUGAGUAAGCUCAUUGAUGAGUGUCUUCUAUUCCCACAUUGAAAGAACAAUCCAUUUUAAAGAAGGAAUUGGAAAAUAAAAAGGGAGUUAUUGUGAAACCUAUAAAGGUGGAAGCUGCAAUUCGCUUAUACCGAGUUCUCCAACAACAGCUUAGUUUAGUAGCUUAACUCUUUCUCCUGACGUGACGCUUUGAGUUUCUUGCUCGAGUCAACUCAAAAAGGUAUCUUCUCAAUCGAUGUAAUACCCUUGAAGUUGCAUGCACAGUAGGUAACAGGAGUCUAGCAUAACAGAUUACAGGGACUCAGACACGAAGUGUACCUACUUCACGAGUGGAAUGUCAUUGACAAGAAAAUUACCCCGAAAAAUUAGCACAAUUUGGGAUACGGAAAAGGCUUUUUGUGUGUGUGUGGGGGGGGGGGGAUGAUGCUUAAAGAGAUUUUUGUAGGAGAUGAGUACUGAAGCAAAGCUGAUAGAAACAUUUGAAUUUAAAAGAGAAGUAUCUGUAGCAUAAAUCAUGAGAAAAUAGAACAAAAGGCAUGUGGAUGAAAAAGAAGUGGAGGGAAGUUUGAAAGUUGACUGCUGAAAAAAAGUUAUUCUACUUGGACUGGUGUUUGGUCAAAAUCUCUUAUAAGUAGUGAAAAUAAUGAGAUAGCAAAUAAGAAAGUCCAAAUAUUGAGAGCUGACCAUUUCAAAACUUCAAUAGUCUCACCCAUAAAGAGAAAUAUGAGGUCUAUAAUAAAAAAAUAGCUCAACUUACACACGGUAAUAGACUAAUAGUGUAAAGAAAUUUUAUACCAUCAAAUAUUUAGAAAUCAAUUACAGGAAAGUUUUUAUAUCUAGUGUGAGUUUAAAUCCUAAAAGGAAUUUGACAACUUGAACUAUGGUAAAUAGAAGUAGGAGGUAAUAUUACAAUAUCGAGUCUUUUAUGUGAAAUUAAAUACACAGUCAAGCCUCUCUAUAACAACUAUCCUUUGGAACAACACUUUAUUAUAAUAGACAAGUUUUACUUUGGAAUGAUUAUUUGUGUUACAUUUAACCUCUCUAUGCUUUACUGGCAUCUACCAUUAUAACAGGACACUCGUUGUAAAAGUACCUCUCUAUAAUAAACAAGGGCCUCAUCUUGAUGCAUCAUCAGCGAGAGAUAAUUGUAUAGAUUGCAUAAAUCGAUGUCAUAAUGCAAUCAUUGAAGAACUUAGUUAAUCACCAUCUUCUGUGGCUCUCAUACUUUUUCUGAUGGUUUCUCUCAUUCUUAAACUAUUAUAUUUACUUAUUAAUCUGUUGGAAUUUAUUGUUGGGUUCUCCUGACUAUCAAAAUACCUUCUACAAACAAUUUCAUGUAAAUGAUGUGCUCUCUUUAAUGAUUUAAUUGCUAGUAAUAGAUUUUCUAAUAGCUACACUAUAUUAGUCAUUCUUGGUUCUAUUGUCCAUGAAAAGGGAGGCCCGAUGUAUGUAGCAUCCUCAUUCACAUAGGGUUCGGGGAACUCGUGACCUAUAGGUCACUAGAGACAACUUUAGUUUACCAUUGCAUCAGUGUACUGUCUGUUUGCAACAAGCCUAAGGGCUAGUGGCAUCUUAGUGCCUGCAGUUUUAAGAUUUAAUGCUUCGUGGUUUCACGAAUUGUUCUUCGUCUACUAAUAUGAUAUAGUAAGGAAAGAUAAACUCAACAUAGUUGUCUGUAGUUUAUUAAAAAUCUUGAAUGUUCAAUAACCAAGAAUAUGCUUUAAUUUCACUUAGCAGCUUGAUGUCGAAUGACUGGAAGUUUCAGCCCUUGACACAGUAGACUAUUGGUACAAAUACAAUAGCUAGUUUCUAAUCCGUGGCUAAUUUGUUGUUAAUUUUUACAAUCAUAUCUAUACUAAUUCCUAAAGGAGGGAUCAUCGACCUCAAUAAAGUAACUUGGUGAUAACAUCCUAACUGUUUGUCUUUAUUGUCCUUUUUCUAGGUGUAUUACAAUAUAGGUUCAUGAGAAAAAAUUGGGGUUAUCGAAUGGGAAGUUUGGAUCCAGCUCCAAAUGGUCAAGUGAAAAAUCGCCCACAAUUGGAGAACUCGUUGUGGAAGUGUUGGCUGAGAAUAUGUCAGUGAGGUCUGAUUCCGAAUGGUGCAAGUUAUGAACCAUUCCGUAACCAUUCAUCUGGCUGCUGCUUGAGACUGAGAAGUAGUUUGAUUCAGGGGUAGUAGGAGAGACAAAAGACGGUGAAUAGCCGCUACCUAUCAGAUUGUCAUCAACAUGAGAAAUCUGGAAAUGUCGAUUAUCGUCUGUCAUACCAGAAGAAAAUGUUGGAACAAAGGAGAAAUGACAUGCUGCUGGGUCAUUCUUGUCCAAGUCAUUAGUAUUGACUCUCAGGUUUGCUCUCAAAUUCAUCAACACUUGAUUUGAAUAUUGCUGCCCUGUUGGAUAAACAGCUUGGUUUUUGAAUUCUUGUUUCUCUGGCGAUGUUGGUUGUGGUGCACAAUAAGUAGCGUGAUGACAAUUAUGGGAGCCUCGGUAUGUGAUAUCGAAUACAGUCGGAUCAUCAUCUGAUCUCUGCACUUGUUUUGUUGCCCAACAGUUUUGCAUGUGACGAUAAGUGCAUCUGUAGUAACUUCUGCAAAACACAUGUAAACUUGGUAUCAGAACAUAUGUUUCUGUUCUUCAACUGAUUUAUGAUUGAACCAUAGUUAAUCGAUCGAUUGAAAACUUCGUUUUUCGUUUUUAUAAGUUUAUGACUUUCAUGCAGGUUAAUGAAGUUGACUUAUUACCUAGGAUAUUUAGCUCUUAAAAUAUCCUUCUGUCCGUACUUUCUCCAGCUAUAUCCAUCAUCAGUAGGACCUUCAAAUCCGCUCUCCGCGCUGACUUUGACUUGUUCAGUCCAUGUGGGCUGUGAUUUUCUGCAAUAUCCAUCAAGAAACAGGUUAGUUGACCAAUGAAAAUCAGCUGCUGAAACUCUCCUUUUCAUUUUAUAGAGUAGUAUUUGACUUGACACGGACUUUUUAGCACAUAUCGAAAGUAGUAUUCUUAGAUCUUGUGGUUUUAAACAUGUCAUGGCAUUUCUAUAGCUACAAAAGCAGGUUAUUAAAGGUAAAACGAGAAGUUUGAAGUUAGAGGAAUUUUCUAAAUAUAGAAAAGUGUCAUUUUUAAUGGAAAUUGAUCUUCUACCUCUUCUUUGAAAUAUUAAUGAGCUCAUGAUGAUCUUGGAAACUCCUUUUCUUGUCAUCACUCUUAGGACUUCCAUCAAUGGAUACCGAAGACUCGAUUGCACCAGUUGAUGGUGGUAGAGCCGGCGGGGAUUGGACUGUUGAGCCACCCCAGUUGAGAAUCAACAGAGAUUGCUCAUAAGAAGAAAGAAUCUUCUGAAGAAGCAAUUCUUGAUUCU
rnacentral:lncRNA from 1 species